AUACGGAGGAUCCGAGCGUUAUCCGGAUUUAUUGGGUUUAAAGGGUGCGCAGGCGGCCAUUUAAGUCAGCGGUAAAAUCGUGGGGCUCAACCCCAUUCUGCCGUUGAUACUGGGUGGCUUGAUUGCGGUCGAGGUUGGCGGAAUUCGUUGUGUAGCGGUGAAAUGCAUAGAUAUGACGAAGAACACCGAGUGCGUAGGCAGCUGGCCAGACCGCAAAUGACGCGCAUGCACGAAAGUGCGGGGAUCGAACAGGAUUAGAUACCCUGGUAGUCCGCACAGUAAACGAUGAAUACUUGUUUUCGGCGAUAUAAUGUCGGAGGCAAAGCGAAAGCGAUAAGUAUUCCACCUGGGGAGUACGCCGGCAACGGUGAAACUCAAAUGAAUUGACGGGG
rnacentral:rRNA from 1 species